UGAGAAAACAGACUUUCAGGAACCCAGUC
rnacentral:piRNA from 1 species